GACGAGCGCUGGCGGCGUGCUUAACACAUGCAAGUCGAACGGAAAGGCCUGCUUUCCCUUGUGGAUUGCGGGUACUCGAGUGGCGAACGGGUGAGUAACACGUGAGUGAUCUGCCCCCAACUUGGGUAUAAGCCUGGGAAACUGGGUCUAAUUCCCGAUAGGACUGCAGGGUGGUGCCUGUGGUGGAAAACGAUUUUCUAGUGGUUGGGGAUGAGCUCGCGGCCUAUCAGCUUGUUGGUGGGGUAAUGGCCUACCAAGGCGGCGACGGGUAGCCGGCCUGAGAGGGUGGACGGCCACAUUGGGACUGAGAUACGGCCCAGACUCCUACGGGAGGCAGCAGUGGGGAAUAUUGCACAAUGGGCGGAAGCCUGAUGCAGCGACGCCGCGUGGGGGAUGACGGCCUUCGGGUUGUAAACUCCUUUCGACCGCGAGGAAGCCACCUGGUUGGAAGGGUGGUGACGGUAGUGGUAGAAGAAGCACCGGCCAACUACGUG
rnacentral:rRNA from 1 species